GUGGGGAAUAUUGCGCAAUGGGCGGAAGCCUGACGCAGCGACGCCGCGUGAGGGAUGACGGCCUUCGGGUUGUAAACCUCUUUCGACCCUGACGAAGCGUGAGUGACGGUAGGGGUAGAAGAAGCGCCGGCCAACUACGUGCCAGCAGCCGCGGUAAGACGUAGGGCGCAAGCGUUGUCCGGAUUUAUUGGGCGUAAAGAGCUCGUAGGCGGCGUGUCGCGUCGUCCGUGAAAACCUGCAGCUUAACUGUGGGCGUGCGGUCGAUACGGGCAUGCUAGAGGCAGGUAGGGGAGAUCGGAAUUCCUGGUGUAGCGGUGAAAUGCGCAGAUAUCAGGAGGAACACCGGUGGCGAAGGCGGAUCUCUGGGCCUGUUCUGACGCUGAGGAGCGAAAGCGUGGGGAGCGAACAGGAUUAGAUACCCCAGUAGUCC
rnacentral:rRNA from 1 species